rnacentral:tRNA from 2 species
GGGGCUGUCUGCUAGCUUGGUAGGCUACAACCUUGGGGUGGUUGCGACCCCGGUUCAAAUCCGGGCAGCCCCA